UUUAAUCGCAGUCAUGAGUUUCUGUAUUUAAUUUUUAUUUAUUAUCCGUAUUAUUUAAAAUUAUUUUAUGAUUAAUAUUUUUAUUGUUAUUAGAUGAUAAAACAUGAAUAUUACUUUAUGUGCGACUUAUGUUUUUUAUUUUUUUUAAAAAAAAGUUUAAAUAAGACGGUCGAAUAAAGUUAGACACGGAAACUGAUUGAUGCGUUUAAA
rfam:Oryza barthii chromosome 6, whole genome shotgun sequence.